UACAGAGGUCUCAAGCGUUGUUCGGAUUCAUUGGGCGUAAAGGGUGCGUAGGCGGCGCGGUAAGUCGGGUGUGAAAUCUCGGAGCUUAACUCCGAAACUGCAUUCGAUACUGCCGUGCUUGAGGACUGGAGAGGAGACUGGAAUUUACGGUGUAGCGGUGAAAUGCGUAGAUAUCGUAAGGAAGACCAGUGGCGAAGGCGGGUCUCUGGGCCGUAACUGACGCUGAGGCGCGAAAGCGUGGGGAGCAAACAGG
rnacentral:rRNA from 1 species